rnacentral:rRNA from 1 species
CACGUAGGGUGCGAGCGUUAAUCGGAAUUACUGGGCGUAAAGUGUGCGCAGGCGGCCAUGCAAGUCGAGUGUGAAAGCCCCGGGCUUAACUUGGGAAUUGCGCUCGAAACUACGUGGCUGGAGUGUGGCAGAGGAAGGUGGAAUUCCACGUGUAGCGGUGAAAUGCGUAGAGAUGUGGAGGAACACCAAUGGCGAAGGCAGCCUUCUGGGCCAACACUGACGGUCAUGCACGAAAGCGUGGGGAGCAAACAGG